GUAGGUGGCAAGCGUUGUCCGGAAUUAUUGGGCGUAAAGCGCGCGCAGGCGGUUCUUUAAGUCUGAUGUGAAAGCCCACGGCUCAACCGUGGAGGGUCAUUGGAAACUGGAGAACCUGAGUACAGAAGAGGAAAGCGGAAUUCCACGUGUAGCGGUGAAAUGCGUAGAGAUGUGGAGGAACACCAGUGGCGAAGGCGGCUUUCUGGUCUGUAACUGACGCUGAGGCGCGAAAGCGUGGGGGAGCAAACAGGAUUAGAUACCCUGGUAGUCCACGCCGUAAACGAUGAGUGCUAAGUGUUAGGGGGUUUCCGCCCCUUAGUGCUGCAGCUAACGCAUUAAGCACUCCGCCUGGGAGUACGGCCGCAAGGCUG
rnacentral:rRNA from 1 species